rnacentral:rRNA from 1 species
GAUGAACGCUGGCGGCGUGCCUAAUACAUGCAAGUCGGGCGAACGGACGAGAAGCUUGCUUCUCUGAUGUUAGCGGCGGACGGGUGAGUAACACGUGGAUAACCUACCUAUAAGACUGGGAUAACUUCGGGAAACCGGAGCUAAUACCGGAUAAUAUUUUGAACCGCAUGGUUCAAAAGUGAAAGGCGGUCUUGCUGUCACUUAUAGAUGGAUCCGCGCUGCAUUAGCUAGUUGGUAAGGUAACGGCUUACCAAGGCAACGAUGCAUAGCCGACCUGAGAGGGUGAUCGGCCACACUGGAACUGAGACACGGUCCAGACUCCUACGGGAGGCAGCAGUAGGGAAUCUUCCGCAAUGGGCGAAAGCCUGACGGAGCAACGCCGCGUGAGUGAUGAAGGUCUUCGGAUCGUAAAACUCUGUUAUUAGGGAAGAACAUAUGUGUAAGUAACUGUGCACAUCUUGACGGUACCUAAUCAGAAAGCCACGGCUAACUACGUG